rnacentral:lncRNA from 1 species
GCCUUGGUUCUGCUCAAGCCGUGCACACGAGGAGGGCGUGCUGAGUCCCUCGCUGGGCUGUGCAGCUGCAGGCGGCCGUGCAGCAGUGCUCCCAGUCACGUACGGCUGUGCUGAGCACUGAGAGGGACCCGCACCGCCGGCAGCUCCUAUUGGAGAGCAGUGUGUGUUUGCUAAAGGUCUCACACAGCCAUGGUAACGGCAGCGCCGUGUCUCCCUGGGAGAUGAGGCGCUCAUGGAGGCCUGCAGAGCAGGGAGGGGACGGAUGCCUUCAGACUGAGCUGCUCGUAUUGGAGACCCCCGAACCACUCCUUAGGUUUUGUAUUCCCAGUGUUCUGCUAAAAAUCCUGCCCGGAGAUAGGAUGGGUGUGAAUCUGCAUUGCUGUGCUCUGCUCAGCUGUCAGCUGGGCCUCUCCUCCCUGGGCAGGGGCUGCAGAAGUUAGGGCAGGCAUGGCUGCAGGUGUACGGGAGGAGGAGGAGGGAGGAGAUGAAUCUCCGUGCAGCCGUAUGUUUGAUGUAGCAAGGCACAGCACCUCUUCUCUGUGUCCGGCUGUGAUGGAUGUGCUUGUUUGGGUGAAGUUGUGCCCUUCAGAAGUCUGUAUCCUAAUCCAUACACAGGGGCCUCUGAAAUCAUUGCAAGGGAAUGGCAAAGCAGCAGCAAAUUAAGUUUUUAUUGAGGAGAGAUCCCGACUGGAGGUGUUUCUGUUUCAGACCAUGGCUUUACAGCUGAGGUUGCCAGCAGCAAAGCUAAUUUGAGCUGUGCUGGGCUUCCUGGGUGAAGAGCCUUUGCUUCAGAGAGAGCUCCUUAAAUUAGCACUUCUUCCCACUGGAGCCUUCGGUUUGGCGUUGGGGGCAGCUGGCAGGAAGACAAUCUGGGAGUGCAAUCUAUAGCACAGAGCAGCUGCACUCGGACCGCGAGCCUUCCUCUCUCUGCUGCAAGCACAGGAUAAAACAUGCUGGGACUUCCUCGGUACCCCGCCACGCGCUCCCUCCUCCAGUGCCUUUUCAUCUUCCUUCCCAUGAAUAUUAACAGCAGUCCUUUGGCUUUGAAAAGCAGCAGUGCUCGGAUACCUGCAGACAUGCCUCCCGAAGUCCCCGCAGCGCUCGCUCCAUCUCUCCCAGUUGGGUUUUGCAGUGAGGUUGCUCACUCAGCCCCAGAUGCUCUGUGGUUCUGCAGUGAAGACAAACCUCGCUCAGCCCAUCCACCUAUGGCACACUCGGGCAGUCAGGUGCACCAGCGGCUCCUUGCCGCUAUUGGACUGGGCUGAGUUUAAACAGCAGCCAUCCAGUGACCAAAAUCCUACCCUUCACUUUUGGGUGCUUGGAGGUCACCAGCAGGAGACCACACCGAUCUGGGCUUCGGUUCUUCCCUGGAGAUGGCUUUACAAAAGAUAGGAAGAGAGAAAACCGUGAAGCUACAUCUACUCUCCCCAGAUACAGUUGCAGCACAGUGAAAGUUAGCUGCAGCCCUCCCCGUCAGCAUGUGUCUGCAGUUCAUUAAUCAUGACUCAAUGGAAAAUCUCCCUUUUAUUGGAUAACUGGAGCAGUGCUCACCUCUGUGAGGAUGCUUACUCACCCAGGAGCUGAGGUCUGACCGUGGCGACCAUGAUCUGCAGUAACAUCACGUGGAUGGGGCUGACAUCUCCCCUCCCUGCCCUGCAUGCACUGAAAGCCCUUGCAGGGCACACAUCAAACCCUCUGGGUGUGGAGGAGAAGUACUGUGCAUUGAUACUGCUAUAGCUAGGACCGGGGCUCAAUCCCGAGGAUGCUGCUGGAUAUAGACAGGAGAAACACACAGAAAUGAUGCUGCAAUCAAAUACAGAGUUUACUAUUACUCACAAAACUCAGAGCUGUGAAUUGGAAGCUUAUGACCCUCCCUCAAAUAAGCACUCCUCCACCUCUUCCUACUCCUCUGAGGAGUCAAUGGGGAGGAGUGUGCUUAAACUGUGAGCUCAGUGAGGAGUCUCCACCUGAUGGGCUCCGUGUGAUGCAGAUUUCAGCCCACAUUUCACUUCUCAUGGCUGAAAGAGCAACUGCCCC